rnacentral:tRNA from 1 species
GCGUAGUUAGCUUAGUUGGUAGAGCAGGGGACUUUUAAUCCCAAGGUCAUAGGUUCAAAUCCUAUACUACGCA